CCUACGGGUGGCAGCAGUGAGGAAUAUUGGUCAAUGGGCGAGAGCCUGAACCAGCCAAGUCGCGUGAAGGAUGACGGACCUAUGGGUUGUAAACUUCUUUUAUAAGGGAAUAAAGUGAGGAACGUGUGCCUUUUUGUAUGUACUUUAUGAAUAAGGAUCGGCUAACUCCGUGCCAGCAGCCGCGGUAAUACGGAGGAUGCGAGCGUUAUCCGGAUUUAUUGGGUUUAAAGGGUGCGUAGAUGGUUUGUUAAGUCAGUUGUGAAAGUUUGUGGCUCAACCGUAAAAUUGCAGUUGAUACUGGUUGACUUGAGUAUAGUUGAGGUAGGCGGAAUUCGUGGUGUAGCGGUGAAAUGCUUAGAUAUCACGCAGAACUCCGAUUGCGAAGGCAGCUUACUAAACUAUCACUGACACUGAUGCUCGAAAGUGUGGGUAUCAAACAGGAUUAGAUACCCUUGUAGUC
rnacentral:rRNA from 1 species